GCCGGGGUGGCGGAAUUGGUAGACGCGACGGACUUAAAAUCCGUUGGCCGUAACCGGUCGUGCGGGUUCAAGUCCCGCUCCCGGCACCA
rnacentral:tRNA from 1 species